AGUUCUCAAUCUUUUCUUCAUUUGAAGUAAAGGCUUGGACUUUGGAGGCUUUUGCUGGACUCCCUCUCUUGAUGGAGAUCGGCUCCUCUUAAAUGGAUUAGUAGGAACCCUUUUGUGCUGGUCCUCGACGUGAUAAGACUUUUUUCUACGUCUGGAACUUUUAGCCAUGAGGCCUGCUUCCAAUUGUCUCUCGUGAGACAAAUCAUUUGAACCC
rnacentral:misc_RNA from 1 species